CAGUAUCCUAAUUUCCUGAAACCCUAACUAUCAUAUGCUUCUUCUUCCUCCAUCUCAUUUUCUUUGAAACCAAAUCUUCGUCAUCACUUAAUCCCACAACCCCAACCUUUGUGCUUCUCAAUUAUACUUCAUCCAGAUCCCUACUUUCAUUCUCACUCUUCAGAUCUCAUCACUCCAUUAAUGCCCCAAACUGUUUGACUCUCUUGAUUUCUGUAUCAUCUAAUAUAACACUCCAGAUCUUCACAAUCUUCACAGGUGCUGUUGCAUACAGAUCUGAGGUUAUGUUUGCUUGUGGCGUGUGAUUUAUCGGAUUUGUAGUUGAUUGAUUGCUCUUCUAAGAAAGGAGAGAUGGAAUCUGAAGGAGAGACUAGGCUAAUAAUAAACAGGCCUUGGUUGAUUCUUGCUUCAAAAGAAUUGAGUUGGUGGAACUUUACUUUAGAAGUGAUAUUGGUUGUACAGUCAAACACCGAUUCUACAUUAAGGUUUAGAUUUGUAUCUGAUUCUUGCUAUCGUUCUUCGUGUGGUUUUUGUUACACAUCUGGAAAGUGGGACAUAAUGCCCUAGCCACUGCCUCCUGACGGCUAGGGUUCCGACGAGUUGAUCUGGAGCCAGUUCAGUUCAAAGAUAGGUUAAAGAAUAACUGCUAUCGCUACCACCUCCAUCGCUACAGGAAUGAUUGAGGCUUAGCCUUUUAUGUGGUUUUUCACUGCCUCAGCCUAGGUGCGCCUUAAAUCGCCUUUUAAACCAUGAAUACAGGUUCAACUGUCAUUUGGCUGGAUGAUCAGUUGGAAGCAGCAAUUAAGCUUGACUCAAUUUUCACUAUAAGUAUGUUGUUCCAAUGUAAGGUUCAUAAGGGAAUUGGUAUAUGGUAUGUGGUUGAAAAAGAAGAAGUUGAAUGGUCUAUGCAGAUGGCAGUGGUAUGCCUGUAAAGUCAACUUCUGUCUCUGAUGAUGAUAAGUUAGAGGUGAAACCAAUAUGGUUAUUGGGAUACAUCUUUUGGCGGGUCAGAUAAUGAAUAUAGUAGUAACCUUUUUUCGUCAGUGUUUAAACUUUCUGUAGAUUUUUGUAAUGCAUACUGCUUUUCAAGUUUGUUUCUAAUGUGUUACUUAUACAUAUAUGCCUGUAUAAUGUCACAAGGUUGAUUAUGCAUUACAAGGGGUUUGCCUGAUUCAUGGA